GGACGACUCUCGGCAACGGAUAUCUAGGCUCUCGCAUCGAUGAAGAACGUAGCGAAAUGCGAUACUUGGUGUGAAUUGCAGAAUCCCGCGAGCCAUCGAGUCUUUGAACGCAAGUUGCGCCCGAGGCCACUCGGCCGAGGGCACGCCUGCCUGGGCGUCACGCACCGCGCUGCCCGCACCCCCAGCACGGAUGGGGCUGCGGGCGAAGAUUGGCCGACCGUGCGCUUAGGCGCGCGGCGGGCUGAAAGCUAGGCAGCGCCCUCGGAGGGGCGUCAGCACGGCGUUGGGUGGUGAGGACGGCUCGCGGAGUCGCUCCAAUCGGACGCCGCGUUGGUCGCCCUCCCCGGGGGCACAAGGGCGCACCGCGACCGCGUCGCGACCCCAGGUCAGGCGGGGCCACCCGCCGAGUUUAAGCAUAUAAAUAAGCGGAGGAGAAGAAACUUACGAGGAUUCCCCUAGUAACGGCGAGCGAACCGGGAAGCGCCC
rnacentral:rRNA from 1 species